AUGGAACUGUUCAUGGUGCGGGUAAAGGUGAUUUUGAUGGUGGUGGUUUUGGUGAUACUGACAGUGGGUGAGUUACAUGUGCCAGGGGUAGAGGAUAUAGAUAAUGUCUCAAGUGUUUCCAUUGGAUGAGACAAUCAAUCAGCAGACACAGAUGGACUUUCUGUUAGUGGACAAGAUGCAGGAGGUGGGUGCAAACUAGCUGCCAAAAAAAAAUGUUGGGCUGCUGACCGUCCUCUCCACACUCUCCUCUUCUAAUUUCUCUAGCUCAUCAUACUCAUAGUCCAAUAGUUCCUGGACCAGAGCUUAAGUGCUAUGUCUGCAGUUUUGGGGAUAACAUAAUUUUUAUCACCAAAUUCAUCACCGCCACCUCCAGACAUUGGGGACACUAGUUUGGUACUCCUCUGUAAAUCCUCACUAAAAUUGGCUUGGAUACCCAUCAAAAAGUCACUCUCUUAGCGCUUUCUCUUAGUUAUUUCUUAGAGGACACCAUGAAGUUUAGAUGUAUGGAACAUGCUGCUAAACCAACUACACUGAGACUGAAUGAAUACUAGUAAUCUCUGGUGGCUGCAUUGGCGGAGGUGUUCCAAAUGUUAGAAGACAUGGCACUACAAGCUGAUGGUAAAUUGGGGAGCAGGACCAACGUAUUGCAGUAAUCUAAGGAUUUUCUGUUUUUAUUCCCCCGUUGAUGUUUCUUGGUGCCUGUUAAACAUCAGCAUUUGUUCCUGUGAGAGUGCUUGCUCAGCAGGUUUUUUAUGUGCUCUUUUACAUCUAACGGGAUCCCUUCCCCUACUCUCCAUUACGUUAGACUUGGGAGUUGUAUGUGACAUUAAUGAUAGUGGGUUUAAUUGUCUUAUUAUAGUAAUCUUGGGGUAGGGAUCAAUGUGUACUGUGUAAGGUAACCCAACUUUAUUCCGCAAAAAUAGAUGUUUGUGUUGCAAAAUGCGUUAUGCCUUGGUGGAUUUAUGUCUUUGUGUUUGGUGUUAAGAAACACUGCACACUGCUCACACACUUGCACACUGGACUGAACACAGUCAGAAAAAACAACAACAACUUUCUUUCUCCAAACAGCCAAAAAGAAUAAUAACUGUAUAAUGGUAAGUUAGUCUCACAGGAUUAAGGUCCAUGCGUAGGCAAAAGGAUUUAUUCCUAAUGCGAGAGUACCCAAAGGAAGGAUUUUUAUUUCUCUAAACAGUUUACAAACCAAAAAUAAACUUUUACCAACUGUAUGUUGGAAGCCAGGCUAGGCAAAAGCAUUUAUUUCCUAAAACCGCUGUCCCCAGAAGAAGGAUAUUCUUUCCUCCAAACAGUUAACAGCUGUAUAUUGGUAUAAUAGUCUCAACUAGAAUGAAUGACCAGAUGCCUGCCAAGUGCCAAUCUUCUAUCUGUCAAUCAAACGUUUCUCUACAGCUCCUGGUAGCCUCACACUAGAAUCAAUGACCCAGACUCUCACUCCAACUCAAGCACAGCAAGGGUAAACAAACAGGAUCACUGCUGGUCUGUCUCCCUCAAUAACUGGAGUUAACGUGUCUGGAAGAAAACGUGCUUGGAAGUAUAUAUAUAUUUU